rnacentral:tRNA from 1 species
GGAGAAUCUGUGGCUCAGUGACAGAGCAUCAGUUUUGGAUGGGGAAGGUCCCAGGUUCAAUUCCUGACAUCUCCA